UAAAUCUUUAGUCAGGAUUGGAGACUUAUGGCAGGUUCUGGGGGAAUGUUUCAUUAAGACCCCGUCUAAAGUUCCUUUGGUGACUCGUUGCUGGGUCAGCGCGCCGCGCGGCCCAGGGUCCGGAGCUCCUGCCCCUUUGUUACGCAGUGGACCCCGCCGGCAGGCCCGGCCCCACGCCCACGGGCACCUCUGGGCUUCCAGAAACAGCCCCGGAGUCCACACGGGCUCCGACCGCCGAGCCGGGGUCUGGUCACACGGGCAGGACACUACACCCACGCGGGGAUGCCCGGGGCCGGCGCCCUCCAGCACCUCCCACCCAAACACCCGCGGUGCCCCCGGCCCGGACCGGAUCAGCGUAGGACGAAGGUCGCCUGGGGUCGCCCAUGGACCCUCCGGGUGACCUCGGUGCGGCCCGGCAGCCGGGCACACCGUGCGUGGACGAGGCCGGGGCGCGGGGUCUCUCCCAGGGGUCUCCCUGCAGGGGUCUCCCGGAGGGAGUGGUACACGUGGGUCUCUAAAGCGACCACUGCAGCAGCACCAUCCAUCCCCGAGUGCAGCAGCACAGCAACUCCAGCAGUGAAACUGAGAUGCUACCUGGCCAGGUCUGGCCCAUAUACUUCCACACGCACUAGCGAUAUUCCUAGGGAGGCUGGUGCCAGAUUAAGCCAGUACGAAACGUGAGGCGGCCCGUGACGCACUCCGCGCGUGAAUGUGCCCAUUGUGCAGGGGAGACGCGGCCAGCGCUCCGCAUUCAUAAGUCGGUGGGCAGCAGAACUUUCACCGACCGUGAGCAAGUCACAUUCUAGAAUUUGCCAUGGACUAAGUAGCAACUUCCAGUGAAAAAAUAAAAUUUGAAGUUGGAAGGUACAUGCUGUCCUUCU
rnacentral:lncRNA from 1 species